rnacentral:rRNA from 1 species
UUAAAUUGAAGAGUUUGAUCAUGGCUCAGAUUGAACGCUGGCGGCAGGCCUAACACAUGCAAGUCGAACGGUAACAGGAAGCAGCUUGCUGCUUCGCUGACGAGUGGCGGACGGGUGAGUAAUGUCUGGGAAACUGCCUGAUGGAGGGGGAUAACUG